UUUUCGAGCAGCCCUUUCUCUUUUGAAAAUGAAAAACAUCUCACCCAGUUUCACCUCUUGUUCAUCUGUUUGUGCAUACUCGGACGGCUAAGCCACCGUUUACUUUGACUUGCGUGUCUCCGUCUUCUCAUGAUGGAGGACUUUGGCUUUGGUUUUGGGAUUCAGUGUCCCAGUUCUUGCCACGGUUCCUCUUCCUGUUCCUUUCUGCCAUGACCACGGCUGCCACCACCGUUACCAGCACGGUGACCGUGAUCACGAGUACGGUGGCGGUCUCUGCGAUGCACAGCUGGCUGUCGACCCAGGCCAGCGAAGACCCGGCGAGCUGCGGCGGGUCGUGGCAGGUCACGUUCCGGUAGUCAUCGAUGUGGAGAUGGCGAACGUGCAGGAUCUUGCUGAAGACGCGGUGCAGGUCACAGUCGCAGCUCCAAGGGUUACCUGAGAGGAACGUACAGUAACCAGUGGAUGAAGGGAAGUGUACUUAUACAAUAUUCUGAGUUAAACAAUGAAGGCUGUGUUCACAUACUGUCAUCAAAUCCUUCUAUCACUACAUUGUAACAUUUAACACCAAGAUGCUCUAUUACCAUGUACUGUAUGUUAUAAUGCAAUAUAAGACGCUCCGAUCAGGGUUUUAUGCUGCCAAUUCCGAUUGCGAUCAUCCAUGAGUGAGCUCAGCGGAUACCAAUCACAUAUAUUAACUGUAAAUUUUUCAAUUUAUUUAUAAUGGGUGCUAUUGGCCAGGGACACGGUAUAGGGAGGAAAAGUUAGGACAAUUCCAAUGGACCCCAAAAAAGGGAACCAUAAAAUCACCUUAAUUUAUGCAAAAACAUUUACAGUAGAUGCCCCCACAAUGUAAAUAAUCCGUUCCGAGAACCUUUAUGUUAUAGGGUUUUUAUGUUACACGAAGCGUAAAAUACAUGUAAAUAGCCUAAUCCGUUCCAAGAUCUUCCCACUCCUCACCCCUUUGGCCCUUCAAAAUAUUCAAAGUCCACCAAAUAUGGUGGGAAAAUAUAAGAAAACGUUACCAUAAACAUAGUACAGUAACAUUCCAAUAUAUAAUAAGGUAAUAAAUAAGAAUACGGUAAAUGAAUAAAACUGAAAAACAAAAACAAUCCUACCAUUCAUGAGAUGUCUUGAUUAGGAGCGCAAGUGGAGGCAGGAAGGAGGAGGAGGACUAGCCUGAGUCGAAACACGACUCAAAGAGUCUAAGAGUCAGCUGGUCUCACAGACAAACGCACACGCACUACACGAUAAUGCUGUGUGCUGAUAAUCAGCCAAUGAGAUGAGAGCGUAGGCGGUGCCCCGAUAAUCAGCCAAUGAGCCAAAUGUUAGUCUGAACUUGCACGGACUAGAGGCAUUAUUAAAGUUGAUUGAAAAAAAAAAAAGGCUUUACGUUAUAUGGAAUUUCUUCUGUAAUACGAAGCAAAAACUUUACAUAAAUUCUUCAUGUUCAGUGGAAUUUAUGUAAAAGGAGGUUUACGUUAUACGAGGUACCACUGUGCUUACAUUUCCAAGAGAACAUACAGGAUAUCACUUGUGAAGCUUACAGAGGAUGAGACGCAGUCUUUAAGGAGACUUUAGAUUGUGAGCAUAGUCUGAUGGCGCUCCGGCAGGGCUAACAGGUAGCAUGCAGAAAGGCUGUUGGCGCUGAGAAAGGCUGAUCAUCUGGUCCGAUGCAUUCAGGUAUUUUUCGGGUUAUUUGCUUGGCCUUCUCACUCUCAAGCACAUACGGGCGAGUGUUGACUAUGUUAGCUGCCGUUUGACUGACGGUUGCUGCACCGUGAGCCUCGAAAACUCACCACACUCAGUUAAGUUGUUUUUCAAAUGCUGUGUGAAAUUAAAGCUUUUUACGGUGCUAAGGUUAUUUUUCGUGGUAUGUGCUGCAGGAUACAAACUUUGCAUCGCUCUCACAAACGGCAUAUAAGUGCCACACGGCAGACAUGUUGGGUUUGCUGCCAUACACCUGCGCAGUGUGAAGGAAUGGGGGAGGGCGACAGUAUCCAAGACAUGAGAGCAGGACUCUACAUCGCACUCUGGGGUCUCUACAGGCUGCACGCUGCAGGAGUACGAGCCACAGGUGAUUGGUUUUUGAGGUCGGCAUGUCAUUCACAUGCUUUUCCACACAUAUCGGCAGAUAUCGAUUGGUUAUAAUGUAUUGUAUAUAACUUAUUGCACUUAUAUUAUUACUUAUAUUAUUAUUAUACAGCGUCAUGCUUAUGUACAGUGGAACUCGUUUAAGUUGACACGCCUCUGCGGGCCCUCGGUGUGCAGAUCAAUCCAAUAAUUGCUCUGAUUGAAUUGAGACUAGCAUGAUGAGAUUGCUCAUUUUCAGUUGUGUUCAGUGUUUAUUUUCACAAAUAUCUGUGUGUUUUUGGUUGUGUUGUAAGACAUCCUGUAGCCAUGGCAGGUCAAAUACAUUUUCAGCACCCUGUUUAACUUUGAUGAACUUAAAGUGACAAUUGUGACCAUACCUGUCAACACAUUUGGAAAGCAAGGGAGCUUUUCCAGGAAAUAAGGGAUAUUCCAGUAGAAAUUCCACCACUGAGGGGGUUGAAAUUUUGGUUGUAAAGACCAGAAUUUCCCUCAUUUUUCCUGAUUUACUGUGAACUAUCCCUUUUAUUUUCAAAUGCAAAGGAUCGACAGGUAUGUUUUGUUGUUUUUUUUUGCAGGAACAACACCAAAAAAAUAUGCAAAGUAGCAACCUGCGAGCUGGAUGUGAGUAGCUGUUGUGUGCAGACUGAUGAAGGUUUUAAAUUUCAAGUGCUGCAGGUUGUUUCCCUCCAGAGCGAGAACGGCCAGGCUGUAGAGAGAAGCCAGAGCAUUUGUGUCUAUCUGAGAAAUGUUGUUGUGACUCAGCUGGAGCACCUAUAUACACACACACACACACACACACACACACACACAGAAAAGUUAUGGUUUUAUCACAGGGCAUCCCUAUAGAUCAUCAUAUGAUGGCGCUCACCUCUAGUGCAGGCAGCAUAUCCAGGCUUCCUUGGUGCACUACAGCCAGUCUGUUGUUGUGCAUGUAGAGCUGUCUGAGUCUAGAGAGGCCCCUGAACACACCGGAGCCAACUGACACUAAAUGGUUAUGACUGAGGUCCAGUUUCUCUAUGUUGUCCAGAUACUCAAAGCUGAUGGAGGAAUGGGCGCAAUGGGUGGAAAAAAGACUUAAAUGAGAUUAACACAACAAACACACACACACACGUCUGCUAUGAAAACGUGCGCAAAGGUGACAAACACAGCAGCAGCAGCUUCAUCAAAACAAAUCCUGUGUGCUUAAAGAGCUUCACUUUUCAGAGCACACUGACACUGGGCCGUGCUUUACCGUGAUUACCAUCCACUCUUCCCCCGCAAUCCCACUAACAUGCAAUCAUUCCCGCUUUAGCAUGUGCUCAUCACUCCUCAACAGCGAAUCCCAACCACUGUGCUGCGGCGUAUUCGUGUGCUGUGAGAGAUCAUCAAGUGUACUGUGGGAAAUGAUCCAAUUUCACUUACUGAAAAUGAUCAUUUAUGUACUACAAAUAAAGUGUCUUCGCUCAUCUAUCAAUGCCAGGAACGUAUAGUUUAAAUGCUCUUGCUCUAGAUGGCAGCAGGUACAUCAUUCACCUGUGUAUCCACCUGUUGCCUUUCAUACAACAUUUUUUAAAGCAGAAGGAAGCAAUAGUCAACACAUGCAUUUGCUUAUACCGUGGAUCAUUUAUUUACUUACUGAAUCAUAUCCUUGUGACUUUGGCCGGAGGUGUAAGGAGAAUAGAUGCUAAAGGAUUUUGUAACCUAUGGCAGUCCAUUUGUGCACAAUUCAAAAGGGUGCAUUUUGUUCGUUGCGAAAAGAUAAAUGAAAGAACGGGUGAGAAGACGACAGUGAAACAAGAAAUGAUCUUUAGUCCCGUUCCGACGCUUCAAAGGUUUACGCCGGGGGUGUCCAAAGUGCGGCCCGGGGGCAUUUGCGGCCUGCGGCUGUGAUUUUAUCGGCCCGCAAGCACAGUCUAAAAAUGUAAUUUAACAAAGAAAUUUAAAAAAAAAAAAAAAAAACAGCAAAAAUGGGAAAAUCAGUCAAUAGUAAUAAUAUUAAGAGAAGAGUUGUAAACUAGCAAAGGAAAAAAAAGCCAUACUUUCACAAGAAUAAAGUAAUCGUAUGAGGAAAAAUGUCAUUUUAGUAGCAUGAAGUUGAAAUAUGAAAGAAUUUUUUAAAAAGUCAAAAACGUUGUAAUUUUUGGGUGCAAAUUUAUAACAUAGGAAUAAAGUCAAAAUAUUAGGAGAAGAAAGUUGAAAUAUUUUGAAAAUGAUACAAAAAAAACAAUAGCAGAGUUUUUACCAGAGUAAAGUCAAAAUAUUAAGAGAAAAAAAUAGAACAGUUGCAAUGUUAUGAGAAUAAACAUGUAAAAUGAGGAAAAACAUCAUUUUAGUAACAAUGCUGAAAUAAAGAAAAUAUACAUUAUAAAGUUAUAAUUACAAGAAGAAAAUUUACAAGAGGAAAGCUGAAAUGAUAUGGUUGGAAAAUGUAAAAAAACCCCAGCAGAAAUGGAAAACAACAGAUGUAGUUUUAUGGGAAUAAAGUCAAAAUAUUAAGAAAAAAGUAUUAAUCGAAUGAAGAACAAAAGUCGCAAUUUUAUAAGAAUAAACUCGUAUUAUUAUGGAAAAGAUGUCAUUUUUAGGAGCAUAUCACCUGUAUUACAAAGGUGAAAGGCAGUUUUUCCUUGAGCUACAUAUAGCUUCUUAGCAUCUAUGUGUUGGUUUCCAAAAUAUCAAAGUGGCCCUUGCAUCCUUUCAUUUUUCAGUAUGUGGCCCUCGCUGGAAAAAGUUUGGACACCCCUGGUUUAGGCUGAAGUAUGUUACAGCAUCGUCAUUACGCCCGUGACCUUGUACCUUUUUUUACCUCUGCCACCUUGUACAAUUUUGAUGACUUUGGACCUGACUCGACAAUAUCAUCAAAGACAAGUCGACCUGGACUUUGACAUCAAUGACUUGGGACUUGACGCGGACUUUAACCUGAUGACUAGAAAAUAUAAUUUUCAGUGAAUGUGUUGAGUAAAAUGUGUCCCCAUUCAAAGUAUUCAAGUAACGAUCAUUAUGUAAUAGGAGGGUAACGAUUCAUCGAUGCAUCAUUUAUAUUCCUAUGAUCCAGCUACAUGGAGCCGUGUCCAGCAAAGUUUCCAUUCAGGACGAGGUAUAUCGAUCUAACAUCGUUUAAAAGGUAAUCAAUCGAUUGAAUCAAUGCUAGGAAAUGAAGCAUUGGAUUUAAUGCUUACAUGAAUUGUUGUCUACUUGUUUGUUUAUAUCCAAUUCGUUUAUUUAGCAGAUUCCCUUCCAAAAAACAACGGGAAUCUAGGACACGUCACCUGCACUGUCCAGUAUCCAGGUAUUUAUUUCACAGUCAGACUGGUUGAAUGUUUUGGCUAAGAAGUUACUGAAUCGAUUCAAAGUUACUGAAUCGUUUCGGAUCGUAUUGUUCUAAAUGAGCCAAUAUCUUCCUUGAAUCGACAAAUCACGAAUCGUGGUAUGAAUCGAAUCGUUAUUCAUAUGAAUCAUUACACCCUAUUAUGUCAUUUCCAGCAAGACAACAUAUUGAAUUUUCCCUUUGAAUCUGCCACAUUGAAUGCAUCUAUUAACAUCCAAUCACGUUUAAAAACAAACAAAGAAUGUGUGGAUUAAAAAUCCCGAAUGCUAUGUCAGCUAUAUUUUUCUGUGACUACCGUAAGUCUUGUCACGUUGGUCUUAUUUUAUAUAUAUAAAAAAUAAAACAAUUCAAAGUGCAUUCAUUGUAUAUGUCAAAUGUAAAAGAUUGUUACGUUGUUAAAAUGGUAUUUUAUUUGGGGGACACUAAACAGUGUUUAACGCGCCCUGUCUUGGAGUUGCACGUCUUUAUUUGAGACAUGACUUGUGACUUGAGACUAACCUGAGACUUGCAAAACACUGACUUGCUCCCACCUCUGGCAUUUUGUCAUUUAAUAUACUUGUUUCACACUACAACGACAUGCUGUCAAGUAUCACAUCAACAAAAGCGACUGUAUAUUUAAAAAACGUACUUGUGGCCCACGUUUUACAUGCUACUUUGAGUCCGAAAAGAGGUGGUGAUUGCGUGGAAUGAGGAGCACCUGAAAGCAGACAGAUGAUAUAAGUUGUUGUGCUGCAGUCGCAGCUCCCUGACAGCAGACAGACUUGAAGAGAAGUCGGCAGGGAGACUUGUUAUCUGGUUCCAGCUGAGAUCCAACUUCUCCAGCCUACCUUUGGCUGAAUGUCCUGGAUCUGACUGUUGGCCAACUGUAGCACCCGUAAGGACCACAGCCCCGUGAAGGCCCUGGUGCAUAUCUCGCUCAGGUUGUUUCCUCCUAGCUCAAGCAGCCAGGUGCCGUGUGGGAGUCCCCUGGGAACAUGGUCGAGCCCACGGCCGUGACAGUCCACCAGGUCGGUGUGUUCGUAGCAAAGGCACUGAUGAGGGCAUAACCGCAAGCAUGCCACGGUGGGGAAAAGGUGAGGAGGUGAACAAAAUGUAAGAAGGAGUACAAGAAGGAUAAAGAACAUGCUUCCUUGGAGGGACGAGGAACCUCUCAGAUGAGUAGUUUAAGUACGGAUGAGUGCAAAGUCAGCAUUGUGGCACCUACAAGCACAGAAAUUGAUUUUAGAAUCGUGUCAUGCAUGCAGGCCCUUUUUGCAUAAAUAGGAAUGACUGCAGCGGAACACGCUUAAGUCGGUCUAUGUCGACCAACACAUCAAUCCCUUUGAUUUUGGUUAUGUCAACAAAUUAAAUGACACCACAGAAACACUUGCUGCUAGCGUUUUAUUUCAUGUUUAAUGUUAACGCUAUCUGCUCACAAUCACAAUAUAAUAGGACUGGCCGAAGGGCUUGUCAUUACAACUCCGUGCACUAGAUGGCAUCAUAAAGGCAUCGUUAGAGGCACUUCAGCUUGCUUACGGAAGGUGCUCUUCAAAUUUGCAGGUGAAAGCCAACAACUCGCUUGACAACACAGUGCAAACGGACAGAUGGUCAUCAAACACAACAAGUCUUACUCACGGUGCAAACCAGAAAAUACCCAGAACAAAACACAAUAAUAAUGGAUGGAUUAGUUCAGGGUAAAUUAUAUUAGAUACUGUGAUAUUCAUUAAAUAGUCAUAGUAGAUGAAUUAAUACAGGGUAAAUGAUAUCAGACACUGUGGUAUUCAAUGAUGAUAAUUCAGGAUAAACACUGUGGUUCUUAGCGUUCUUCUGUGUAACAUUUAAACAUACUGUAUACUUUUAUUUGUACUGUUUUUUAAACAGACUCAUAUCAGUACACUGGUUGAGUACCUUGCUCAAGCCGUUCCAUAGUGUGACUCCGCAUACUGAUAUGCAUCUACUAUGAAGGCUACAAAUGUGUUUUUGUGCACCCUGUCAAUGUCUGUACGGUCUACAAGUAUUUGUAUUUUUAUUUCAUGUAGCAAAGAACAAUAUUCAGUAUACUAUUUAUUUCUCAUUUUGAAACUUAUGUGUCCUUUUGUGAGGACACAACAAGCUCAUUCAAAACCAAGUUAAGCAAGCUUUCUUCCAUUUUCCCCAGCUGUCACUCACCUUUGCUCCUGACGUAGCCCGCUUCGGUGCAGAAAAUGCUCCAGAGUUCAUGACGGCGAGACAAAAAACAGACAGUGAUGCCUUCCAGGGAGGAAUGAAUAUGAUGAUGAUAAUGUGAGACUCGGUGCAGUCAGUCAGCUGUUUUCUCCUGUUCCUGUUUGUGGACUUCCCAGGUCUGCCUUUCACACAAGAGUCCCGGAUAUUCUCCUUCAAAAGCUCACCCAACUUACUGUGCCCCCCUCCACCUGUCAGUCUACGGUCUACAGUGGACUCCUUCAGGUUCCUGGGCUCCAGCAUUUCCCGGGACUUGAAGUGGUGCCCCCACAUAGACACGGUUCGGAAAAAGGCGCAGCGGAGGAUGUACUCCGUGAGACUGCUCAAGAAGUUCAACCUGCCUGAAGAACUGCUAACAACCUUCUACAAUGCAAUAAUACAGUCUGGUCUCCAUCGGGACCAGCAUAGACAAAGUGUACGGGUCCAGGGCCACAAGGGCCGCUCACAUCCCGUCCACAAACUAGUCCACUUCCUCUCCUCCGAUAGGCAAUACAAAGCACUGUUUGGCAAAACAACCAGACACAAAAACACCUCCUUCCCCAUGGCUGUCAAUUGAUAUUGAAGACAACACACACUCCCAGCCCCCACAAGCUGACCUGUCUGCAUGGAUGUAAGCUACUUUAUUAUUUAUGUACAUGUAUAUUACCAACCACUGCUAUUUGCACCCAUGGGCAUUUGUAGUUCUGGAAGUCACACUGAAUUUAUAAACUGUAACACUGUAAAUACCAUUAUUAUAGUUAUCUGUAAUAUUCUAUGUAAUUAUGUAUAACAGUAUUGUCCUUCUCCUUUAUAUGUAAACUUUAUAUACUAUUGUUGUAAUUUGUAACAGAGAGUGAUGUCAGACCGGGGUCAAAUUACUGGUUUGGUUACGUACAUGCAGAAUAAAGCUAUUCUGCUUCUGAGUUUACCGGUUGAUGUCGAUUAGCUCAGACGUCAUCUACCCGAGUACGGAAGCCUGGAGGGUUGUGUUGUUGUACCUGGAGCAUUAACGGCUAAAACUGUACGGCUCCAUCAUAGAAACACUUUCUUCACGUCUCUUGGGAUGUGUACAGCACAAAUAAUGUAUACACAGUAUUGAUAUUGGUAAUUAAAUCGCAUUUUGACGGUGUUAAUGGAUGUUUUAAAUAAAGUUUUUUUUAAUAAAGGCGCACAAUGCGGAAGUAGUAGUGUGACAAGUGUCUUCAACGGAUUUUGGAGCGAGUGUUGGUUUACGGAGACAUAGAAAAUGUAGCGAUGCGAACAGUAUUUUCUGUCUUUUCUUUAAAAUGGAAACGAUGUGUAUUUUUUAACGACAGUGUGACAUGUUGACAAAGCUGGAAGGGAACGUCACAGCUUUAUAAUUUAACUGAGUGAAAGUUGUGUGCGCUGUCGGUCAGCAGCAGUCAUGGCUGAGGCUGGAGCUCAUCUGACGUCCAGCACCGCGAGGGAGCAGCCGUCUAUCUUUGAGGUCUUGGCUCAGGAGUCUCUGAUGGAUGCGGUGAAACCAGCACUGAGACAUGCGGUCAAGGUUCUGGCAGAGUCCAACCCCUCGUGCUUUGGUUUCCUGUGGCGGCGCUUCGAUGAGUUCUACCUGCUGCUGGAUGUCCUCCUGCAGAAUCACUUCCUGUUUAACUGUAGUGCGUCCUUCUCGGAGAACUUCUACGGGCUGAAAAGGGUUUCAGGAGGACGAGGCCUUCCUGUUCGCCUGGGACUGCGAAGGAAGACCCGCUGGAGGUCUCUUCUUCUUCUCUGCCUGGUACCGUAUCUGCGGGCCAAGCUGGAGGCCACGUUUGCACGCCAAAGGGAGGAAGAGGACUUCUCCAUACGGCUGGCACAGAGCAGGAGCCAGAGGCUGUACCGCGCAGCUGUGGCAGCUUACCCGUACGUCAACUCAGCCUGGCAGGGCUGGGUCUUCUGUCAACAGCUGCUCUUUGUUUUUGGAGCUGUCCGUACCCACAGUCCUUUGCUGUGGCUGGCGAGGGUCCGACUGGCUCGACUCACCGAGCGAGAUAUCCGAGACAUGGAGCUGAAGGCACGCACAAGUGGCAGCCCGGCUGGAGCCAGCACUCUCCAGAGAAUGUGGUGGUUGACGUCACAAGCAGCGAAGGGCGUGGCCAUCUCCCUGUCCACCUCCCUCUCCAUGGGGGUCUUCUUCCUGCAGUUCCUGGAGUGGUGGUACUCCUCUGACAACCAGGCCACCGUGAAAACCCUCACCUCCCUUCCUGCGCCGCCGCCCCCCCUCCACCUGGAGACGGCCGACCACAGCGAGGAGCGCGCCAGGACGCGGUGUCCGCUCUGCCGAAGGCUUCGCGUCAACGCCACCGCACUGUCCACGUCGGGAUUUGUCUUCUGUUACCGCUGCAUCUACACGUACGUGAAAGCCAACCACCGCUGUCCGCUCACCGGCUUCCCAACGGAGCUGCAGCACCUCAUCAAGAUCUACUCGCCUGAGAGCUAGACGAUCAUCAAAUUCUGCUGUCCAAAAAUUCCUCAAGGAGAAUGUCCGGCCAUUUGUUCGUGACCUCAAGCUGAAACGAACUUGGGUUCUGCAGCAGGACAAUGAUCCAAAACACACCAGCAAGUCCACCUAGCUACAAGACUUUGGAGUGGCCUAGUCCAAGUCCUGACCUAAAUCCUAUUGAGAUGCUGUGGCAUGACCUUAAAAAGGUGCUUCAUGCUGGAAAACCCUCCAAUGUGACUGAAUUACAACAAUUCUGCAAAGAUGAGUGGGCCAAAAUUCCUCCACAGCGCUGUAAGAGACUCAUUGCAAGUUAUCACAAACGCUUGAUUGCAGUUGUUGCUGCUAAGGGUGGCCCAACCACUUUUUAGGUUUAGGGGGCAAUCACUUUUCACACAGGACCAUGUAGGUUUGGAUUUUUUUUCCUGCCAUAUAUUUCUCCCUAAUAAAAUGUUUCAUUUAAAUAUAUUACAUAUUAAUAAUAUUUACAUUUGUUUGAUGAUCUGAAACAUUUAAGUGAGAAGUGGAUAAUGAAGAAAAAACUAUGAAAAACAUCUACAGUCAUGGAAAAAAUAUUUGACCACCCUUGUUUCUUUAGUUUAUUGAUACAUUUUAAUACCCGAUACAACUCAAGGUAUAUUUAUAAUCAUUUUUUCCAUGACUGUAUCAAUAUCCAGUUUGCAUCUUGUAAAAAGCCAACUGGACGGACCACAUGACUUGUUUUAAAAAUUAUAUUUGGAUCACUAUUAACUUGGAGUACUGUUAGUUUAGAGUACUACUAGACUUCGAGGCCCCUAUAAGCGGCGUACUGCCCUGCAGGAGAGGGAGCGUGAUGACAACGAGCGGGCAUGUUUAAGCACAUUUGAUGUGUUUUUGGCCUAAAGCAUUUUUAAGUGUAAAAAUGGCUAAAGAAACUAAAAUACAAAUAUAAGACAUUCAAAAAUUGAAAGACACGUUCUGAUAUGUAGUAUUCUACACUAUUUACAUUGAUGAGCAUUGAACAUUGAACAGCCACCGCAGGAAACACUAUACAGUAGAACAACAAGGAACUCUUCCAAUGCUAAUGUGUGAGUCUAAAUUAUGUCUUAUUUUCUGUUAUUGGGUAAUAAAACCGUAUUUAGAAAGUUUGUCUAUACUCGAACUACAAAAAUAUUCUAUUUAUAAACGAUGAAUCCAACUUGUCACAAUCGGGUCUGGAACCAAAUAACCGCGAUAACCGAGGGAUGACUGUACGUGACACGUCAUGUCUGUGAAAACAUUUAUUUUUAUCCUAUUGUUGUCAAAAUGUCAUUUUUGCCUAUGGUGAGUUCAGUGGCUGGAGAGGGACGAGCUGUCUGCCUGGCCACCAGCCACAAAAGUCUAAAAAGCGGUAAGAUUUUGCUGGCGGUCGGAAGUUUUGAACAUGUCCAGCGCGCCGUCUGUCAACAGGCUGAAAAAUGAAUUCAAAUGUUCAAAAAAUGUACGCCUUUGUUUUUCAGAGGGAAUCGUUAAAUUGCUAUUUUUUAAGCUUGAGAAAAGCAGCCAACCGUUUAUGUCAACGUCGGUUUAAAGCGGGCACUUUUUCGCAAAAACAAGAACACGGUGGACCAGGACUUGAUGAGUUGGUCAGGGUUGACUUAAACGGGUUCCACUGUAAUGAUAGGAAUCUCUAAAUGUGUUCCAAACUGCCACAACCCCUCUCUCUCCCUCUCCAAAAUAUAUAAGGUUAACAAAUUAAGGCAUCCAGAUGAAAAACAAGAAAAAGAAAAUGAAGUGACCAAGUGUAACUACAGCUGGAUGUGUGUGUGUGUGUGUGUGUGUGUGUGUUUCUUCAGUCCUAAACGGCUGGUUUGUGUGCUGAGGUGUUGCGGUGUUUGUGUUUGUUUUUUUUCGUGUUUCCGGUUGGAUGCUUUCUUCCCCCCCCCCGUGUGUGGACAAAAAAAGGCACCUAGUUCCUUCCUCAUUCUUCCUGCUCCAUCAGCCGAGCUCACUGCGACCGCCUCUUUGCGGAAAAGCCGAGCAUUGCGCUUGGCGUCUGACACUUCGGUUCGCUCUUUGUCGCCCACAAAUUUGACAAAGGAGGGAGACUCAGUGGUGCUGUGUGCAGGUUGCAAGACAGGAAGGAGCGUUACAGUCAGUUACACAAAGGGCGUGUCCUUGCUGACUUCCUCCUCCUCUGGUUGCCAUGGAAAUGCUAACAAUUUGUCUGCUCCUCCAAUGGAAUCAUCUGAUACUGUCAGAGCUUCCUCCCUAUUGUUUCCUCAGCCAUUCGAGGUCCUCCACAACAUUUCCACUCUCUCUGUGUGAAUGUGUGUGUACCUAUACACAAUCCAUAAGGGAUGCCGAAAGGUAGAGAAGGUGCCCGGAGGAGGGUGAGGUGGUCUUCAUGUGUGCUUUCCUUUUUAAGCCCCUUCUACAAAACAGGCUCCUCCUCCAUUGGCUCCUCUGUUGACCUGCACGGGAAGAAAAGUCACAUGUAAAAAGAUUUCAGUUGGACUGGCUGCUUGCACAUUUACUUGUGACUUUCACCAGAAACAUAAAAAGAAUGGGCGAUGAUAAAGGAUUUGUUUGUUUUUUUUAAUUUUCUGAAAUUUCCCCUGCCACCUGCAGAGACUUCCACGAGAUCCAUCCAUCCAUCCAUCCAUCCAUCUUCUAUGCCACUUAUUUUCACUAGGGUCACGGGGGCAUGCUGGAGCCCAUCCCAGUUGACCUCGGUCGAGACGCAGGGUACAACCUGGACUGGUCGCUAGCCAAUCACAGGGCAUCCACGAGUUUAUUUAUUUGUUUAUUAGGGACAAUGCAUAUUAAUGGCCAUCUGCAACCAAUAGAGAUGUACUGUAAAUAUGCCACACUGCUAGUAAGCAGGUAACAGAAAAAUAACAAUACACAAUAUAAAACAAUUAACAAUAAGACAAUAAACACAGAACAUAAAAAGGCUAAAAUUGGUCAAAAAUUGGUGUGUAUGUCUGAGACCCUCUUAUUGUUAAUGGGAGUCUGUUCCAAUAUUUUGUUCCUUUCACUGACAGCACUGUUUGUCCAAAAGUGGUACGUCUGUGUGGUACCUCACAGUCCCCACGAGCUGCGGCCCUCGUGCCAAUCCCACUCCCCGCCCUUCAAAGGGGUGUGGCAAGUCCAUGCAAAACUUGAAAAGUUCCAAUGGGUCUGUGCUUUAAUGUUGUCAGCUUGUUGUCGUCAGCAAGUAGCAAGAAGAAUAUCAGCAAACCGAACCAAAACAAGUAUCAGUGAACGUAGCUGUCUCCAUAAUGCACAUACUCACCCUGACGCAUUCACAGCCACAAGAAACAGUCGGACAUCACAAACUCUACACAAAACUUCCAGCUUGCUACCGUACCAUACUUGACUGUAGUGUUGGUAAUGAGUAUAUCAGAUGUUGAAGAAAGCCAACAUAGAGCAUCUGUGCUUACAGCCUGAUAUAAAAUCAACAACAUUGAUGUAGUUAUGUUCAAUGUUAAGAGUUCUGUGUUGCCCGACUUUUCGACGAGGCCAUGAAAGUGUCAGGCGGAGCGUGUGCAUGUGUGGAGACAACUGGGCUCGCUGAUGUUCUUCUAGCUACAUUUGGUGGUACUCUUUGGGCGUGGUCGUGACUGACAGUAAAGGUUUCGGCAGAUUCAAAUUUAAGUAGCGGGAUCGGAUUGGAAGUGAAAAAGUGGGGAAUGGUGCACCUGUAAUUGGACAUAAACAUAGGAAUUAUCCCUCUGAAAUUUUCAACCGUGUAUGGCAACGUUGUCUUACGCAGGUACUUUUUUAGUAAAAAGGAGAAGGCGGUAGACCAAAACCUGGUGUGUUGGUCGACACAGACAAGUUGUUGACAUAAGCGACAUGUUAUUUUAAAAGUUACUUUACAAAGUUACUCGGACAGCUUCCCACUGACCUGCUGCCAUCAGUGAUGUUGGCAGCCGAGCCUGACUGCUCGACAUCGACACUCAAGGAGGCCAUGGCGCUCACUGUGUCUGCCUCGUCCUCCUCCGAUUGGCCGUGAGCUCCCAGGGGGUUGUCCAAUAGCGGCUGGCUGCUCGUCUGAGACAAAGUCUGGAGGCAAGACCAGUGUUUGCCUGGAACACAGAAGACACGGUGUGAUGGGGAAGACAUGCUGUGGCUUCUCACCAUUGUUCUGUGUGCGUCUGAGAGAGAGAACUCACUCUGGAUCUCUAUCACUCUUUCCAGCGAGGCACAGGCUUUAGGACACGGCUUCUCUUGAGGCCACUGGAAUGCUGAUCCACUCUGCAAAGGACACACUGAGUGCUCCGCUGCCUGGAAAAAAGUUGCCAUCAUCGUAGCGAUGGAGGGAGAUGUAGAGGACAUUAGGGUCACCGUAGAAGGCCUGCUGUGUGCCGUUGCCAUGGUGAAUGUCCUGCAGUGACAGGUUACAUUGGCAUCCGAGGGACUGCGUGAUUGUUAUGAAACACGGGACUGGAAAUUAACUGCAUAUUGUGCAAUGUGUUGAAUUUGAAAAAGCCCAGCUUUUCGUGGGUUAUAUUCCGGGACCACCAGCAAAUGUAAAAAAAAUGGCGAGUAACUGAUACGCCCAUACACAUGUCUCGCAUGUCCACCUCCAAACCUUCCUGAUAGCUUGAUGUUGGCGUUCUCCUCCAAUUCUGGAUCAACAUUUGCAGGAAAAGUUAGAUUGUAACUGUUCAAAAGACCACCGAACAUAGUGCGAAAUCACAACACUUGAUGAAAAAAAACAUCAUCAGUGAAGCAUAAAGAUGUAAAAAAACCAACAGCGGUACAUGUAUGCUGUACAUUUUACUUGUAUUAUCUCAUUUAUAAAUUAUUACUGACUUAAGCUGAAUGACAUGUGUUUUCUGCUGAAAAAAAGACACCUAAUAACUGCUUAUCCAUGAAUUUGUCAAGCUGUGACUGCCAAAUUGUGAGUGUAGAUGAUUUGUUGUGGUACUGUAUAUACUGUAUACUGAUCAAAAAAAAUUAGAGGAACACUUCGAAAA